rnacentral:misc_RNA from 1 species
AGAGAGAGAGAGGAGAAGAAGAAGGUUGGCUGUAACAAUUUCAAGGGUAUAAGGGGUUACAGCAGUUAUAGGAGAUUUAUACACUUAUCAGUGCAACAUUCUUGUAGAUUAAAAGCACAAGAGAAUUACAAACCAAGAUAAUAAACAAAAGAGGAGCUCCACACUGUUCUCUACCCCAAAAUGAAUCUUUUUUCCACCUCAACCAUUUUUUGGAUCACAGUUCUAUUCACCGACUUCACACCAGAGUUUUAUCAGAAGUAUGACAUAUUCCAACGCAUCUCCAUCUUCAAUAACAGGAUGAUAGGAGCUUGGUUUUGGUUAGAGCAAUGGUUUUGCUCUGGUGGAUUGAGUUUCUCC